rnacentral:misc_RNA from 1 species
ACAACAACAACAACAACAACAGCUAAGCUAAUCCCAAAGAUGUUUAAUCAAACUGAAGAUGUCUAAAAAGUUUUCAGAGUGAUCCAGACAAAAUAAAAGAUAUUUUCCCUCUUAUAUUUUUUGGCCAAGUAGCAGAACGGAGCUAGAGUAUUUAGGGUAGCCCAUUCAAACAAAAAUCCCUGAAAGCACUCCUAUGACAUUUUCAAUCUUGGCCUCUCCAGGCACAAUUUUAUUCAGAUAUUCAUUCUCAAAUUUCUCAUCCCCACCUAUCAAACUAGAUGAGCUCACUACACAGCAGCAUGAAUUCAUAAGAAAAAUAUUGUACAAAUAAG